rnacentral:rRNA from 1 species
UCAUGCCAAUGGCACUGCCCGGUAGCUAAAUGCGGAAGAGAUAAGUGCUGAAAGCAUCUAAGCACGAAACUUGCCCCGAGAUGAGUUCUCCCUGAGACUUAGAGUCUCCUGAAGGAACGUUGAAGACGACGACGUUGAUAGGCCGGGUGUGUAAGCGCAGCGAUGCGUUGAGCUAACCGGUACUAAUGAACCGUGAGGCUUAA